CUCAUCCCUGCUUCCUGCUCUGUUUCUUUACUUUCUUUUAUUAAUUCUGUUGUUAUUUUUAGUUAGAUUGCUGAUUAAUUAUGUUUGUUAGGAUAGAUAGAUAUAUAUGUUGUUAGGUAGCUAGGUUGUGGUUAGAGAAUUCUAGGCCUAAUAAUUGCUCCGUUCUUGAUUAUCCAACAUGGCUUAAUACUGCUUGUUUGCUGAAUGAUGUUGGUGUGAUCAUUGCUGUGCUGUUUUUGUUUCAUGUGACCUGAUUCUACCUGCUGCCCUGCUGAAAUGUACUUGUGAAAUUAAGUUUGAUGCUGCCGCUGUACAUGCAAUCCAUGCUUUUCUCAUGUUAAUUGCAAUUUUUGGAUUCAUGUGCUUAUAUUUUAUCUUAUUUAUUUAUUAGCUCUGAGGGAUAUUUCUUUGCAUUUUGAUCAUUCCCUCUUGAUGUGGGAGUUCUAGUGCAAGUGGGGUUUUCCCUUUUUUCUGGGAUUUUGAAGUGGAAGUGGGAGUUCGAGUGAUUUGGAUUAUACCCGAGAGAAGGGGCUGGUUGAUGCAGCUUUUGUUUAAAUAAUUAAAAGUUCAUUUAUGCUCAGUUUUGAAUAUGCUGCCUGAUCAGGGAAAAAAGGCAGUCAAUGACAAGCAAAAUGAAGCCAUCACAGCUGCAUCUAAUGAGUUGGCCAAAAGAAAAAGCGAUCUUGAAGAAAAUUUAAAACUUUCACAUGAUUUAAAAGUCUAGGCGCAGCAUGGAAUGUUGCUAAUGUGACAAAAGGAUCAACUGGGGUGAUAUUUGGUCUCGGAACUGUUGGCCUUUCUGUUGCACAAGGUGCAAAACUAAGGGGAGCAUCUCGAAUAAUUGGCGUGGAUAAGAAUCCACAUAAGUGUGAAAAAGCAAAAGCUUUUGGAUUUACAGAAGUUGUUGACGCGAGUUCCUAUCAAGAACCUAUUGCUCAAGUUACUAUUCCUUUUUCAGUUAUACCAUCUGACAAGGGCUACUUAUUACAAGUAUCCAAAGCAAAAGUUUUCAUUCCAGUGGCUAAAUGGUGAUUUAUUUGCAAAAUUGUAGACAUGGGUAUUGCCUCCAUUUGUACCUUUUGCGCAAGCAUUUGCAGCUGUACUCACAGCUGUUCUUACUGGUUCUCUCUAUUAUGUGGCUGCCUCGCCCAAAGAUCCCACUUAUGUUGUGGCACCUGUUUUGCAAUCUCGCUCGGGCUGUCAAGAUUUGAAAAAGCUGUUUGAAG